CCAUUCCUCUUCUCCCCUGCCUGCUGCAGGGCACUCCGAGGAAAGCAACUUUGACCGUAGUUUAACCACCGGGCAGCGAAGCUUUCAAUGAACCGGAGCAACGGAGCCGUGUGAAGUGCUUCCACUGGCAGGGGAACAGCAUGCACACAGGGCUUGUUGUUCUGGUUGCUUUCUGCCUGGCUGAGGAACUGGUGCUUGGGAUGCUAAUGUUACAAGUUGAAGGCUAAUCCUUUAAAUUCUUGCUCACACAAGCAGUCCCAUUGAAGACAGUCACACAGAGGAUC